UGCAGUCGAGGGGUAUGUUCUUUCGGGGAUAGAGACCGGCGCACGGGUGCGUAACGCGUAUGCAAUCUACCUUUUACAGGGGAAUAGCCCAGAGAAAUUUGGAUUAAUGCCCCAUAGUAUUAUUUGAUGGCAUCAUUAGAUAAUUAAAGUCACAACGGUAAAAGAUGAGCAUGCGUCCCAUUAGUUAGUUGGUAAGGUAACGGCUUACCAAGACUAUGAUGGGUAGGGGUCCUGAGAGGGAGAUCCCCCACACUGGUACUGAGACACGGACCAGACUCCUACGGGAGGCAGCAGUGAGGAAUAUUGGACAAUGGGCGCAAGCCUGAUCCAGCCAUGCCGCGUGCAGGAAGACGCAUCUAUGGUGUGUAAACUGCUUUUGUACGGGAAGAAACACUCCGACGUGUCGGAGCUUGACGGUACCGUAAGAAUAAGGAUCGGCUAACUCCGUGCCAGCAGCCGCGGUAAUACGGAGGAUCCAAGCGUUAUCCGGAAUCAUUGGGUUUAAAGGGUCCGUAGGCGGUUUAAUAAGUCAGUGGUGAAAUCUGGUCGCUCAACGAUCAAACGGCCAUUGAUACUGUUAGACUUGAAUUAUAAGGAAGUAACUAGAAUAUGUAGUGUAGCGGUGAAAUGCUUAGAUAUUACAUGGAAUACCAAUUGCGAAGGCAGGUUACUACUUAUGGAUUGACGCUGAUGGACGAAAGCGUGGGGAGCGAACAGGAUUAGAUACCCUGGUAGUCCACGCCGUAAACGAUGGAUACUAGCUGUUGGGCGCAAGUUCAGUGGCUAAGCGAAAGUGAUAAGUAUCCCACCUGGGGAGUACGUUCGCAAGAAUGAAACUCAAAGGAAUUGACGGGGGCCCGCACAAGCGGUGGAGCAUGUGGUUUAAUUCGAUGAUACGCGAGGAACCUUACCAAGGCUUAAAUGUAGAUUGACCGAUUUGGAAACAGAUCUUUCGCAAGACAAUUUACAAGGUGCUGCAUGGUUGUCGUCAGCUCGUGCCGUGAGGUGUCAGGUUAAGUCCUAUAACGAGCGCAACCCCUGUUGUUAGUUGCCAGCGAGUCAAGUCGGGAACUCUAACAAGACUGCCAGUGUAA
rnacentral:rRNA from 1 species